rnacentral:rRNA from 1 species
GAUGAACGCUGGCGGCGUGCCUAAUACAUGCAAGUCGAGCGAACAGACGAGGAGCUUGCUCCUCUGACGUUAGCGGCGGACGGGUGAGUAACACGUGGAUAACCUACCUAUAACACUGGGAUAACUUCGGGAAACCGGAGCUAAUACCGGAUAAUAUAUUGAACCGCAUGGUUCAAUAGUCAAAGACGGUUUUGCUGUCACUUAUAGAUGGAUCCGCGCCGCAUUAGCUAGUUGGUAAGGUAACGGCUUACCAAGGCAACGAUGCGUAGCCGACCUGAGAGGGUGAUCGGCCACACUGGAACUGAGACACGGUCCAGACUCCUACGGGAGGCAGCAGUAGGGAAUCUUCCGCAAUGGGCGAAAGCUUGACGGAGCAACGCCGCGUGAGUGAUGAAGGUCUUCGGAUCGUAAAACUCUGUUAUUAGGGAAGAACAAAUGUGUAAGUAACUAUGCACGUCUUGACGGUACCUAAUCAGAAAGCCACGGCUAACUACGUG